AGAUCAUCUACUUUUAUUUUUGGAUUAAUUACUAAAACCCUCUUAAAGUCUGCCUCAAAUAACAAUUUGGUCCAGGCUAUUUCAAAAUUAGCAAUUUCAUAAAUAAUAGUUCAGGGGCUAAAGUACAAAUAAAUUUUAAAGACUGAACUAUAAUAUUUUUUAAAUCAUCAAGGUAUAUAGUUGAAAAUUUUGAAAUAAACCUCACUUUCUGAAACUACUAGCUCAUAACAAAUCUCAGUGAUUAAAAAUGCUAAUUUUGAAGCAGCAUGGAUCAAAAGUGUAUUUUUUGGCAAAUCUCAA
rnacentral:misc_RNA from 1 species